rnacentral:tmRNA from 1 species
GGGGGUGUACAGGUUUCGACGGGGAUUGAAAGCGCAAGUUGCAUGCCGGAGUGGGCAGGCUCCGUAAAAAAGCCCAACUACGUAUAAACGCCAACAACAACGACGUUCAAUACGCACUUGCAGCUUAAUUAAGCUGUAACGUCUCUUCUUCUAUCGCCCAUGUAGGCUAAGAGACGUAAAUCAGUGGGCUAGUCGCGGCGAGUGUCCGUGGCGUUGCGGCGAAUCCAAAGCGGACUCGCCCGCUGCGAAUCCUGUUCGUGGGAGUCGUAUCGGGUCAACUUAAAACACGAACUACGCAUGUAGACGCUUGACGUGGCAGAUUUUCGGACGCGGGUUCAAUUCCCGCCACCUCCACCA